rnacentral:rRNA from 1 species
UCGAGAAUCUUCGGCAAUGGGCGCAAGCCUGACCGAGCGACGCCGCGUGGAGGACGAAGGCCUUCGGGUUGUAAACUCCUGUCGAGGGGGAAGAAGGGCCCUCAAAAGCCUUGACUGAUCCCUGGAGGAAGCACGGGCUAAGUUCGUGCCAGCAGCCGCGGUAAGACGAACCGUGCGAACGUUAUUCGGAAUCACUGGGCUUAAAGCGCGUGUAGGCGGGCCGGAACGUCAGUCGUUGAAAGCCCCCGGCUCAACCGGGGAAGUGGCGCUGAUACGACCGGCCUGGAGGAACGUAGGGGGAGCUGGAACUUCCGGUGGAGCGGUGAAAUGCGUUGAGAUCGGAAGGAACGCCCGUGGCGAAAGCGAGCUCCUGGACGUUUUCUGACGCUGAGACGCGAAAGCCAGGGGAGCGAACGG